GGGAAACAAGGGAGAGAAUUGAACAACAGCAGAUGAGGUAGAGAGGGAAGAUGGGAGGGGAGGGGAGGGGAGAUAGUAGGGGAUAGGAAAGGUAGUAGAAUACAACACUCACUAAUAUGGCAUUAUGUAAAAAUUGUGAAUGUGUAACUGAUGGGAUUCUGCAAUUUGUAUUUGGGGUAAAAAUGGGAAUUCAUAACUCACCUGAAUUAAAUGUAUGAAAGAUGAUAUGUCAUGAGCUUUGUAAUGUUUUGAACAACCAAUCAAAAAAAAAUUUAAAAAGGGCUCUUUGUUUUGACUUUCUGAGUGAGGAAUUAGAAAUCACCUUUAUUCUUUUAUUUUUCUUUUUUCUCUAUUUUUAAAAUUUUGUUCGUUGUUUUCCUGGUUUGCUUUCUUUUUGUGUGCCCAAGACUAAGUGGACAUUUAUAGUUUUUCAUUGGAUUGGGGGGCACCUAAACCAUGAGUCAACCUGGGCACAGGAGUGCACUAUAACAUGAACUUAGGGGAAGGUUUGGGUAGCAAUGGGAGCCAUGGCUGCUGGUCAGUUCUAGAGAGCGGAGAAGAGCAAAAUGUGCUUUCAUUUUAAAUUUGUAAUCUGAACUUUGUGAUAAUGAGCAAGGACAAAAGGGAGUAGAAUUAUAAUGGGUGAGGAUUGGUUGGAAAACUGCUACCUAUAGCAUUCUACUAUAGGCAAAACUAACUCCCUUAUGCCCAAAGUGUCUGGAGGCUCUACUGACACAACCUGAACACAUCUUACAGACCUCCUCUCAGCACUUGGACUGAGACUAUCAGAAUGAAGAGUGCAGUGUGGCGCAAUCCAGAUUUAACCACAGUCUCCCUGAGUAAGAAGGCUUGCCAUCUGCUCGAAAGAAAGUUAUAUUCCCAUCUCCACUGUAAAAACAUGCCAUGUUGAAGGGAAAUUUGGCUCUAAAAUGGACAACCCUCCACCCAAUACAUGCUGUCAGACAAAGAGGGUCUGCUCAGCAUACCUCCUAACACAUUGGCUGUUUUGGGUCAGAGCUGGGAGCAAAUAGCCUUAUAAUUAUCUCUCACAACCAUCCUCAUCAUUGGGGGAUUGUAAAAUUGAAACUCUGGAAAAAACUGUUUCCAAAUAAGAAAAUGUCAGAAAGGAGUAAACUGAUUCUUUUGACAAUUGUUGUUACAUUAGCUCUCUUGUGUAAAUUGUUUUGUAGUGUUUUCCC
rnacentral:lncRNA from 1 species